rnacentral:rRNA from 1 species
GACGUAGGGCGCGAGCGUUGUCCGGAUUUAUUGGGCGUAAAGAGCUCGUAGGUGGUUUGUCGCGUUGUUCGUGAAAACCGGGGGCUUAACCCUCGGCGUGCGGGCGAUACGGGCAGACUUGAGUACUGCAGGGGAGGACUGGAAUUCCUGGUGUAGCGGUGGAAUGCGCAGAUAUCAGGAGGAACACCGGUGGCGAAGGCGGGUCUCUGGGCAGUAACUGACGCUGAGGAGCGAAAGCGUGGGGAGCGAACAGG